rnacentral:rRNA from 1 species
GACGUAGGGCGCGAGCGUUGUCCGGAUUUAUUGGGCGUAAAGAGCUCGUAGGCGGCUUGUUGCGUCGGCUGUGAAAACCCAUGGCUCAACCGUGGGCUUGCAGCCGAUACGGGCAGGCUAGAGUUCGGUAGGGGAGACUGGAAUUCCUGGUGUAGCGGUGAAAUGCGCAGAUAUCAGGAGGAACACCGGUGGCGAAGGCGGGUCUCUGGGCCGAUACUGACGCUGAGGAGCGAAAGCGUGGGGAGCGAACAGG